rnacentral:lncRNA from 1 species
UUUUUUUUUUUUUGUUUAAAGAAGAUAGUAAUUUAAAAAAUGUACGUGAGAAGCAUAUACAAGGAUUACAAAAAAACAAUAUGUGGAAAUUUUAUAUUUUUUCUCAAAACAUGCAUCAUCUUAUAAAAAUAAAAUAAUUAUCAAACAAUGCGUACAUGUUAUUUUAUAAGUAAAAAGGAUGAAAAAAGGCCACAAGGAAGGAUUUCAUGAGUUUGAGUUCAAAUGGUUUAAAUGAGAAUGAAAAUAAUAAUCAUCACAAAACUUUAAUUAAUUAUUUUAAAUGAUAAAAUUAUUAAAAAAUAUAUUUAUAAACAUACCAAAUUUUACUUUUGGAAUAUUUAUCACCCCAAUUUUUAUUAUAUUUAUAAAUAAAUUAAUUCAUUUUAUUAUAUUUAAAAAGUAUCAUUUAAAUAUAUUCCAUAUUGAAAAUUUCAAUUCUCAGAACCCAUUUUUGUUUUAAUAUUUAUAUUUUUUGAACAUAUAAUAUGGGGAUUGUGGAAUAUUAUUCAACCGUAGACCCAUUUUAGAUGUUAUAUUUUACUUCUUAAUCCACACGUAUACAUAAGUGGGUUGAAAUAAAUAUAAGCUAAGCAAAUAUGAACUGACAAUAUAAAUAUAACACUUUUAAACAAAAUUUACGAACUAAAAUAAAAUUAUAAAGUAAUUUUUUUAUAAAAAAAGUAGGGUUUUUCUAAGAAUAUAAUUAAAAAAUACAAAAACUAUUUACAUGACAAAAAAAAAUCAUUUCAUUCUAUUAUAAAUAAUUUAUCCAUUUUAUCAAUUUUUACCAUAAAGACAAGAUAAACAAGAAUACAUAUUAUCCUUUUUUUUGUCUUCUCACUUCAAGAAAUAGACAACUAAUUUAUAGUGAUCAAACUUUUGUAGAGAUGCAAUAGAAAAUAUAUGUGACAAACAAUUUAAUAACAGUAGACGAAUACAAAAAAUUUAAAAACUAUAUGAUAGAGAAGGUAACAAACACAACAUGUAACAUAAGUACAUAUGACGUUAUUCAAUUAGCUAUCCUCGAGCGGAAGAUAUUUUACGUUGAAAAUGAAUAUUUAAAAAGGACAACAAUAACCCAUUUAUUAUAAUAGAGACAGGAGGACAUGACACAAUUUGCAAAAACAAACCACAUUGACAUAUAUAUAUAUAUAUAUAUAUGUAUGUAUAAAUAUAUAUAGUUCCAUCCCAUUUCAUAUUCGAUAUUGUAGUGUUAUAUAUAUAUAUAUAUAUAUUUGAAACAAAAUCAUCCUCAUCCAAAUAAAAAGGAAAAAGAAAAUAAAAAGAAUAAAAGAAAUGGAAUCGACGACGACGGUGGGGAGGGUGGCCGGAAUAAUAUUGCCGACGAUGGUAGACAAGAAGAAGAAACUACCAAGGGAAUUCGUGUGGCCACGAGGGGAGUUGGCAGGGGAGGAAAGAGGGGAGUUGAAAGAGCCGUUGAUAGACUUAGGGGGAUUCAGGAGAGGGGAGGAAGAGGCGACGGCGGAGGCGGCGGCGAUGGUGAGGAUGGCAUGUAUGAAACAUGGGGUGUUUCAGGUGACGAAUCACGGAGUGGAAGAGGAGCUGAUAAAGGCGGCGUAUGAAGAAGGGGAGGGGAUAUUUAAGAUGCCAUUAGUGAAGAAAAUAAGCGUGGGGAAAAAACCGGGGAGAGUGUCGGGAUAUUCAGGAGCUCAUGCAGAUAGAUUCUCUUCAAAACUUCCAUGGAAAGAGACCUUCUCUUUUGAGUAUUCUAAUGAUGAUUCUCAACCUCUACAUGUUCUUCAUCACUUUAAAUCAUUGUUCGGUUGCGACUUCGAGAAUACUGGGUCAGUCUUCUUUAACUCUCUCCCCCCCCCAGAAAGUACUACGAUAUCCAAUCGUUUGAUUUUCAUUUUUCAGUUUUGUUAAUAUAUACGAUAUGUAUAUAUUGUGUUUGCUUAGUUUUUAAAAUAUUUGUUUAACUUAAAAAAUUCAUUAUUAAAUAAGAUUUUAAAGAUGGGUAUUUAAAAAAUAAAAAUCUUGUUAUUUUUUUUCUUUUCGAAAAUACUUAAGAAGUUAAUUAGAUGAAAGAUAAAAUAAUAUUUAUUUAGUGUAGGCUUAUGAACUCAAUGUAACAAAAACAAUGAGCCAAAUUAACAACUCUAUUUCUUCAAACAAAACACCUUCAUAAGAGUGUUACAGCUAGUGGGGCUAUAACCAUUUGUAACCACAACCAAAAAAAUUAAAAGAACUCAAAGACAGGAAAAAGAAAAAUAAGUUUGUUAUGGUUCAAACAGACAAUCAAGAAUUACUCUUUUGGUAAAGUUGAAUUAAUAAAGAAGAUUAUUGAGAUAGACAAAAACUUCUAAAAUUAUAAUAAAAUAUAAUAGUUUAAGAUAAACUACUAUGAGUAUAUAUCAUAAUCAUAUAAAUAGAUAAAAAUAUAUUUUACUGUAUUUUAUGAAUAUUUUGGUUAAUUUUAAUUAAUCAUAAAGUAAUUUGAAGUAUAUAACUUAAUUAUGGGAUGUGUUUUGUUUAUAUAUGAAGAUGGGUAUACCAAAGAUACUGUGAAGAAAUGACAAGAACAGCAUUAAUGAUAAUGGAGCUUCUAGCAAUAAGUUUGGGAGUAGAGAGAUAUCAUUACAGGAAGUUCUUUGAAGAUGGAAAGUCAAUAAUGAGAUGCAAUUACUAUCCACCAUGUGAGAAUGCAAGCCUGACUUUAGGCACAGGCCCUCAUUGUGACCCAACUUCACUCACUAUUCUCCAUCAAGAUCAAGUUGGUGGCCUUGAAGUUUUUGCUAACAACGCUUGGCUCUCUGUCAAACCUAGACCUGAUGCUUUGGUUAUUAACAUUGGUGACACUUUUAUGGUACCCAUUUUCUUUCUUUCUUUCUUUUCCUAUAUAUACACGUAUAACUUUCAACACGACACGACCGGACGUCGCAAACCAAUUUCUUGUUUUACUUUCAAUUGGACCUCUUAAUGAUAAAAACUGAACCCGUCUAAUCUUAUUUAAUUGUUACAAUUUCUAUGAGAAUGUAAGCUCGAGUGUGUCCAAUUUCAACAUUUGUAUAAGUUUAAGAACUCAAGUUUUAUAAUCGAAGUUUGAAGUGCUUACAUAGAUUUGAACAUCUAAUCUUUUGAUUGGAGUGAAAUUAUAGUUCUUAUAAAUGGUUGUUUGUAUUGUGAUAGCCUCCUUGAAUAAUUAAAAGAAAAAAAAUGCAGGCACUGUCGAAUGGAGCGUACAAGAGCUGUCUGCAUAGGGCAGUGGUGAACAGGAAGAGAGAGAGAAGGUCAUUGGUGUUCUUUGUGUGCCCAAAAGAUGAUAAAGUGGUGAGACCCCCACAAGAUUUGGUGGGCAGAGAAGGGCCAAGACAGUACCCUGAUUUCACAUGGUCAGAGCUUUUGGAGUUUACACAAAAACAUUACAGAGCUGAUGUUGCUACACUCCAAAGCUUUGUCCACUGGCUUCAAGCUAAACCUCACCCUCCAAAAAUUCCAUUUUAAAUUUAUUUAUAUAUAUAUAUAGAUAUAUAUAUUAGAAUUUCCCGUCUUUUUUCUUAGUUUGUUCUUAUUCUUCUUAUUCUCUCCUCUUACCGCUGUCCAAUGCUUUGUCCUUCUCUUUGUUUCUAUCUAUAUUUUAUUUACAAGCUCUCUUGCCUAAAUGCUAAUCAUGCUGCUGCCUUUUUGGCACUUUUAUGCCUUUCUUUCUCUCUGUUUUUCCCAUUCUUUUGCUGCUAUAUGUUUAUAAUAUGCAUUUUUAACUGUUCAACCCACUCGUCUUUAUAUAUAUAUAUAUUGGUUAAUUUUUCUGCACUUUUUCUAUGUACCUUCUUUAAACUUAUAAUUCUUUCAAGAAAAAAUGUGAGAGCAUUAGUGCUGAUGAAAUGAGGGAGGGUGGUAAUAUCCCUUGGUUGGGUAUGUAUGUUAUUGGUGUGGUGAUGGUUGAUUGAAAUAUGUAGUAAAGCUUACAAAAACUAGAUAAAAUGAUCAACAUGAACAUAAUUCAACUAGUUGAGUUAUCGAUUCUUGUUUCUAUAUGAUAAACAUUUCAAUCUUCAACUCGAUGAAAAAUGCAUGUUUAUUGAUAUUCAUUAAUUAUUAUUAAAAAUUAUUUUAUUUAUAUUCUUACUUAAACAACAUUUUAAAACAAAAAUUAUAUAAAUAAAGUUUGUUAUUGUUUUUAAAAAUAUAUCCUUAGAAAUUGUUUUUGUAGUAUUUAUUUUUAAGUUUAGAAAAUGUAUAGGAAGAUUUUUACCACUUGGAUAAAGUUUAGGGGCUACCCAAAGGUCGAGUUGGACCACAUUCAUUCAAAACAUUUUUAACAACUAGAUAGCCUAAAUAGAACCAAUUUGAACAUAGCUUAGUGAAAAAUUGUUGGGCAAAAGAACCAUGCCCAUGAUUUAGAUUGAAGAACUUGGGAAUAGCCAUCUCGAGAUAUCUUCUCUAACACAGUAGACUUACUUGUACAGUUUGAACAGUAUGAAUCCAUCAUUUUUAUCCUUUAUGUCAAAACAGAUGGCACAAGCAAAAGCAAACAGAGAUGGCGGUAAAUGCUUCGAGCAAACACAAUGAUUUCAUAUGCCAAAAUGCCAUAAAACUUAACAUGCACAAAGAAGGUAAAGGGAAUUGUAUGUUCUAACUCACUUUAAAAACUGAAGUAAUAUAAGACUGUUACAAGUAGAUGAACAAGUUUUUAUAAAUUAAAUUUUGACAAGGAAAAUAAUCUCAAACAUGUUUCCUUUUACAGCUUUCUGGUAUUGCGUAAACAUAACUGCAGCGCAGAUCCCUCUGACUCUUACGGUGUAACUUUUGAGAGAGUAUCCUAUCCUCGGCCACAUACUUGGUCUCGAACACUAAUUUACAAUGCAACUCCUUAUACAAGAGAAAAUUUACAACAUUCCUCUUUCAAUGAAACACCCAUUUGAUGUGACAGAGAAAGAGAGACUUGUAUCUUAACCCAUGUUUGUUGGUUCAUCUUCCUCAGCAGUUUUCAAACUGUACAGUACAAGUAUACUUGUAGAUUUUGGAAGUUAUUUUUUGAUGGGGGUACUAUAUUCAUAUAGCCGUUAUUAACUAACUUCAAUGAUAAGAUACCUUAAGGGGUGAUGACGAAGUAGUUUAUAUUAACUUAGGCAUAUAGUCUCAAGCGCAUCUUUAUAGGUUCUCGACACAACGGGCACGUUGAGAUAGUUACACCACAAUCCUUGCAGGUCUGGUAAGAAAACAACAAAAGAAUUGUACGCAAAUAUUCAUGAGUGUCUUGGCCAAGUAAUACGAAUAUGAAACCAUUCGAACAUUUUUUAUUCCAUUAGAAAAUAUUAGUCAAACAUUAGCACUGUUAGAAAGUUCAAUGGUAGAGAACUUACUGUAUGACCACAUGCAAAAGCCAUGUCCUUUGGGUUUGUGAGGCAUAUGGGGCAGACCUUGAACAAGUGACAUUUAAUUUAAAUAAUUUAUAUUAAUGAAGUCAUGAAACAAAAGAGAAACUUUUUUUGUUUCAGUAGACAAGGCUCUCACAACUUGUUGCCUUAAUCAAUCUUAAACCCCAAGAGUACAACAAAAUUUCCCUAGAGUAAUUGUAAAGCCACACAUGUUUGGUUCUCUCAUUCUUAGAAAACUCCAUAAAUAAAAUAAAAGCGAAGUUACCGAUUCAGAUGAGGAACUAUGUUUUUCAGCUUUUGAAUUCUCCAAAAUUUGGUUUGCAACUGCAUUGUCAUGAUUGAUGACUUCAGGAGGAGGAGGAAGUGGCCCUGCACUUUUUCCAUAUACAGAUUCUCUCCUGAUAAUAGUGUGUGUUAUUUUUCCAAACCCAAAACAGAAAUUGUUACGAAAUCAACAAAUUAAGAAAGCGAGAAAGUGUAAACAAUAAAGAUCAACAUAGCUAUAUCCACGGGCUGAGGAAGAGAGUAGUUUUAUUAAGCUAUUAACAGAGAAAAUAUGAGAUAAUACAAAUUACAUAAACAUCAAUAGGGUUUGAGAGUUUUUAUGACAACUAUUUGAACCUUGGGCUUAAAAUCCUAAAUAACACAUAACACAAUCACAAUGUAGGCUAAUUCACUUGGUUAAUCAGAAUGCCAAAUAACAAACACACGACAUUUCAACUGUUCAAUUGAAGUUGAAAAUCCUGGCUUACUUUGAAUUUGGCAAGGAGAGGGUGGCUCUGUAUUGAAAUGGAAUUUCCAUGAGUGCGGCCAAGGCAAAUGCUGCUUCCUUCUUUGACGCUUCUGUGCUCUCAGACAUGAUCUUUGUGAAGUUUACAAACUGAAUCAAUAGAGAGAAGCCGUGAAGUUACACACUGAACCAAAAACAAUUGAACACCCAUGUUUUCUUUUUGACAACCAUGAGAUGGAGUUUUUCUCUAAGUGGUUUAUGGAUAACCCUCAACAUUAAAUGAAGUACAUAGAAUAUAGAAAAGAUACUGCCGUAAGAUUGAAUAUUCAAGACCAUUUCAUACCUUCCUCUUAACAAAAACUUCUUAUUGAACAAAAAUGAAAGAACACAUGCCCACAAAAAAAGAGCUCCAACCAUGCAAAAUAGUCCGUAAGACCAUUCCAUACAAUGAAAAACACAACCACACAAGUAGAUUCAAUGAAAUAUUAAUCAAGUACCUGGAAAUUAUCAAAUGCACGCUGAGGCAGGUUAUCAUCAAAUUUAUGCAUAGCAUCCCAAGGUCCAUCCCCCACCCCGAUUAGAAUUAUCGACAGAGGAUAAUGGCUGGAGAUUCAAAUGUUAUGAGACUUCAAGCACAGAAGCUACUGAACUUAAUAAAAGUUAUUGUUUGACUUUUACCUUGCAGCAACAAUGGAGUUUAUGGUUGCCUGCUCUUGAAAACUUAAUUUACCAGGUGGUGUGUUAGGAUUUCUAGUAACCUGUUCAAUAUUAUACAAUUUUAAGCCUUAAGAGAAUGAAGCAUAAAUGAGAUAGGGAGAAAUAAAAGAUAAUACAAACAGAGCACAUCCAACAACCUGUCCAUCUGCAAUAAUAACAAGGACGUGAUACUGCCAAUUGCUUUUCUCAACAAUGCCAAUCGCAGCAUCUAUAACAGGAGCAAACGAGGUUGGACCUACAUAUAUAAGGUUGAGUAAAUUGUUAGGAUCAUUAUAACUUAGGAAGAAGAAAUUACAUUAACCGGGAAAGCACUUUGAAAAGUAUCCACAGAUAGCAAUUUAAACAGAUGGUAAAUAUAGAGCUGGAAAGCUCCUCAAAUAAUAUAAGUAAACAUAGAAUUAACAAUUACUGAAAUAAGCCUCACUAAGCUAAGAUUUAAUAUCCCAAAGGCGUCCUUCUCAACAGCCAUUUUCCACUAACUAGAGCUGCUAAAACAUGCUACCACCAAUUAACAAAACUAGUUCACUUUGCAAACAGGGAAGCUCCCCAUAUUGUUCUUUCACCUUAACGAAUGCCUCAACUGGAUCAAACUUCUUGAACAAUUUCCUUGCAAUACCUCUAAAGAUAUCUAAACUUACUAUUCAAGGGAUUGCCUCAUCUUAAAUUAUAAGACUUAACUAUUCAAGGGAAUGCAUUUUGUCAAUCUCAAUGAACAGAAUCAACUCAAGGAAAUAUCUAAACUUACUUAUCAUACGAGAUUAAGAAAAUGAAUAUGAUGUUGCAAAUCAAAAUCAAAUAUCUUUCUAUAUUCAAUGUCCUCACUCAUCCAUAUACACAAUAGAAAAGGAAAGUAAAGAACUGAUGGAAGUAACCACAGAAAUUAUUACAUUUUUGUCCCAAUCAGAGGCAGCUUAUUUAAAUUCUAAAACCAUAGGCAAAAUGCCGUUUUUGUUGUAUGGAUGACACAUAUGGUCAACAUAUGGAACUAAUAUUAUUGAAGUUAUCAAUUGACGGAAUUGAUAAUAUCAACACAAGUCCCCCAUUGACAUAACAGUUGCAUGAUAAAGUUAACAAAUGGAUACCAAAAGUUAGCUCUGCAUCAUGAUUGAUAUUGCAAUACAUGGUGAUAAAUAGAAAAACAAACAUUUAACUCAAAAGUUCAAAUGAACCUGAUAAAUUAAGGUACGGCAGAAUUUCUCUAUAUCGAAAAAGUGCUUCCUUGAAGCCUUUACAUGGCCUAUGAUCUGGAUAAAAGCUGAAUACAUGCUGAUCACAUGUUGAUGCUUCAGAAAAAGAAGUUGAAAAUAAGGUAGUUAGGCAAGAGAAAAAGUUGUUACUAACACUUCAACAAAGGAUCUAAAAGAACUAAUACUAACCAUCACCAAAACCGAAACAAGGUAUCAAGCCAUCAUCAUCAAAAGGAGACAAUGUGUGACCAAUAAUAGAAAUUGCUUGCUCAUAUGGAUUUGGUGUACUGCUAACUGAAUGCAAACUUUUUCUUCUGAAAGAAUACCUGCCUGCAGUCAGACAAAUGUAACUUCUAGUUAUCUGUGAAGCAUUCAUAACCUUCAUAACAAUUGUAGAGUAAAUAAAGAUUCACCUGUCCACUCAUUACUCUUUGUAAAGUCGAUACCAAGAAUUAAAUUUGAUGAUUCAAGACCUUCGUGUCUCAAUGCAGAUAUAACCUGAACGAAGUUCAUGUAUUUCCAGUAUGCAAUACUUGUGUGAAUGUCUGCUUGAGGGUACGGUGACAUUCAUAUUGAUAAUAAACAAAAGAGAAAAUAUAAAGACUGACUUUCAAAUAUUUAGGCAGAAUUAACGUACAGAAAUUAACUGUUAACAUAACAGUUUAAUGUUUAAAAGAACUUCAAAUAGGAAAAUAUUGAAUUGAGCCGAGUUAGAAAAACUUCUAAACUCAAGAAAUUCUCUGUAACUGUUAUGUCUACAUAUUUUAAGAAUAUCGAGAUCUCUCCUCGUGAAAAGUUGGUUAGAAGAUCUCAAAAGCACACAACUUCUUAUCUCAUCAACUUUAUUGGGAACCUUCUAGUAAGGAGGUCUUAAAGUUAAAGCUGUUUAAAACACUUAAUAAUAAAAUCUCAUUCUUUCUAUCUCAUUCCUUCUAACAAUGCCCCUAAGCUACUUUAUGGAGAAGUCCUCUGUAAAUCCAGUUUCACCCUCCACAGUCUAUAUAUUACCGGCAUAGGAUGAAUCUUGCUUCUACUUCAUCCAUUUUCCUUCCUUUUAGCAUACCCUAACUUAUCAUCUCUAAUAACAAAAUUUAUACGAUACUUGGAUGGAGGAAUAUAUAAAAGAUGUUACCAAUUACAAUUACAAUUACUAACUCCAUGGCUUUAUGAGAGGUCUAGAAUCUUCUUAGAUUUCACUAAUUACCUGACCAGCAAGACUAUCUGGAGGGGCGUGAGAGAAUCCUGACUAAGAGAUUUGCUAAAUGUAUCACAUUAUUUUAAUUUUGUGUGAGAGUGUCGCAUUUAUUCAACUAAACAUUAAGCCUAUUCUACUAAAUGCAUUAUGUUCAAUAAAUAUCCAAAAGUUCUUCCUUAGAGAUCCUCCUUCAAUGUCUAAACAACCAAGACGCUAAGUUAUUCUAACCAAAUGAUGACAAACAGUUAAUAUGUAACUGGAAAGUUUCCAUUGGUGAUUUCAUGCAUAUCAACAAUUAUUUUUACACAUAGGAAACAGGGGACAUCAAUGAUCCAAAGCCAAAACAAAAUCGACAGUGUAUAGGCCAUAUCCCUAAGGAUGAGGAUUUGUAAGUCUAAACAGAGGAAUCAAACAAAGAGCCUCAAAUCUAAGUUGAUCAGAAAUUUGGGAGUAUUUUAGAAAGCUUAAAUGGAGGUUACGUAUGCUCCAAGUAAAUGGUAUUAUGCGGAUAAUAGCAUAAAAGAGCUGGCUUAGUACUGAAUUGUCCACAGAAAGCAUAGAACAUACAGACGAAGAGAAAUAAAUAUAAAAGACGUUGCAUUGUAUUUGGCAUAAUAGGUCAAGUCAAAACCACAAUGGAAUGAAGUAAUCUGAUCCACGUAACAAUACUUAGAAAAAUCAAUCAAGUCAGGCAAAAAAGUUAAGUGGGAUUAAAUUUAAUUAGAAUUUAGAAAGAAAACAAUUUUUUGUUCUUGAACAUAAUUUUCAUGGGAAGGGCCAUUGCUAAUCUUAAUCUCAAUAAAAGUCCAAGACCGAAAAAGGUAAUGAAGUAUAAAUAAUAUAGAUUUUGUUCAGCAUACUUUCAAACAUAGAAAUAAUCAGCAAGAAUAAAAGAGAGAACCUGAUCCAAUGAGCUGAAAUUAUCAGCAAUAUACCGGUAGUCUAUUUUCCGAUGACGAUCUGAAUCCAUCUAACUCUCUGCAUACAAAAAGGUUUAAGCAAGUUCUCAUUUAAGUUAUUAUAAUACAGUAACUCCAGAUUCCCCAAUCUCAAAUGUGCUGUUCAAGAACGGUAAAUGUACAUUUAAGGAGCAACUAGGACAUAAGAAUCAAUUAGCUAGGAUGCCUUUUCCUCUAAACUUGUUAAAGUCAAAUCAUUCAAACUUGCUAAAUGAAACAUUGAAAAUCUAUGAUCAUCCCAUAAACAAAAACCCCCAGCUCGAUUCAUAACUUCUAAAAGGGAAAAGGUCGCAUGAUUGAAGCAGAUAACACAAACCAGUAACUAAAAUUGGCGAAAAUGCAACUGGGUAUCUUAAGUAAGGGGGUGAAUUGAAUUCAGAGCUCUAUAUUGAGCAGACCCAGAAGACAAAUCAAGUCAUGGAGGGCCAAAAUGAAGUAAAUAGAAGAAAAAAAGAUGAGUUGAAUUCAGUCGAAAGCAUAAAUAAAUGGUUUAAAUGGAAUAACAAGUAGCAACUCACAGAGAGCAGAAGGGAGAAAGGGGAGGUUUUGUUAGGAUGGCCUGCAAGGGAAAGAGAUACAAAAAGAGAAGAAGGUCAAAAGGGAAGCUGAAAUGGUUCUGAAUAUGGGGAUAUUAAUGGAUAUUUUGAAGAGAUUCCUUCUCGUGUUUGUCAUCUCAGACUUUAAGGAAAAGGUUCGUUGUUAAUGCGUGCACCCAACCCAUGUUCAAAUGGUGUAAAUCCACAAACUUUCCACCUUUUUUUAAUGGAUGAACUGCAGCAGCAUGUCUAUGAAAUAUAUAUAUAUAUAUAUUGGCGGUGGGCAAUUCAUCCUCUUAAUUGGGAGUUGACAAGCUAUGAUCUCCCAACAGGUUAUAAAGAAUAAUUAUCUAAAACUUUAAUAACCUAUACUCCGUUAAUAUAUUAGAUAACACAAACUAUUAUAAAUGUAAUCAAAUAAAAUAACAUUUUUUUUAUUUUAUUUAAAAAGUAUCUUAUGUUAAUUUAAAAUAAUUAUUUUUCAUUUGUUUUUUUUCAUUAUUAAACUUAAAUUUAAAUAUCCAGUUUAAAACUAUUAUAAAUUAAUUAAUAGAUGAAAGUGAAUAGGUAAAUUUUGAAAUCAAAAUUGUGAUGAAAAUAUUUAUAAUAUAGUAAAUUUUUACUUUCUAUUGGUAAGAUAAAUAGUAAUAAAUCCAAAUAGACAUCUCUCUAUCUAUCACGAAAAUAGAAAGUAAUAUUUUUUUUUACAUUUAUAAAUGAGUUAGUAUACAUUUUGGUUAUAUUAAAAAACAUGAUCUUUUGAAACAAAACUAUGGAAUAAAAUAAUUCUCAAAAUCGAAGAUUCUAUUUCUCUACGGGAUAUAUUUAGAGUCUAAUUAUAUCAUCAAUAUUAUUAAAGAUAGAUUUUAUAUUUCAUUAAAACACAGUAUGUACACAUCAUUUAUAUUUGAAAUUUUUAUUAUAAUUUAUGAUAAUAAAAAAUAAAAUAAAUAAAUUUGUAGUAAACAAGUAUGGCUUUUAAUUGGUUUAUUUCUUAAUUGUUUUUACUUCAAUGACAUAUGAUGAUAAGAUAUUUGAACACACCUAAACUCAAUACUCUUAUUACUUAAAGUAGUGGUUGAAUUAGCAUGGUAAGAUAAUUAGGUUAAGUUUAACUAACCCCUAAUUAUUAAGAAGAAUAAUUAAUACGUCAAAUUGGAAUGAUGUCUCUAAUAUUUUACUUGUUCAAACUAUAAUUUUAAUAAAAGUAAUCAGUUUUAUUUGCCAAUAAUUAUUAUUUUAAAAUAAUUACUUUGGAAACGUAAUAAAAAAAAAUUACAUUGCCUCAAUAAGAUCUCAUCAGUUUAUAAUAAAUUACAACUAUAUCUAAUGAUACGAGGAUUUUUAGAGUAGAAUCAUAAAAUUUUAGAGGCACUUGCAAAUAUGACAAAAUAAGUUAUAAUAAUUAAGUCUAUAGCACAUAUACUUUAUUAUUUGUGAAAAUGACAAAAAAUAAAGCCUAAAAUAGCUAAACUAAUUUACCACCCAAUACAAUUUCCUAAAAAAUUUUAUGGUCAAUAUAGACAAUAUUAUAACGCUACAAAAAGCCACAGUCAAACAAUUUACCUAAUAUAUUUUAAAGAAGAAACAAAAAAUACAAAACAACCUCUUCCUCGCUUGGAAUGUUUUCUUCUAACGAAAAUAUAUUAAAAACGAAGCAAACUAGCUACCACCAACAAACAAAAAACGGUCGCUCACUUACAAGAAUAAAAAUGUAAUAUUAUUUGAAAAAUAUCUUUCUAAUUUCUAGAAUCGAGAAGAUCAUGUAGAGGAUGUUAAAGAUGUUAGAUUAUGAGCAACUCUGUGAAAACUUUAGAAAAGUGAAAGAUAUUUACGAAUGCAACAAAAAUCAUUUCAAAUGUACUAAGAUUAUAUUCUUAUAACAUUGCAAAUAUAGUUUAGCUCGACAACUAAACGAUAAUAGGAGGGGCUAAGAUGAACCUAAAGUAUAUAAUAUAAAUAUACAUCCCCACUGCUAGCUACAAAGUAGUAAUAAAAAAGGUGCAUAAUUGUGAUUAUUGAUAAUUCAAACAACCUUUUGACUUUAGAAUUAAAAACUUAAGAUGCUUUCUUGCAGUACAAACUAGUUAAAAUAAGACGACUAAGUAACCUAAAAUGAUUUUACUUUUUUUUCUUUAAUUUAUAAAAAUCCAUAAUUAGUACACACACAUUUAAAUGUUGUAAUUAUUUACAACUUGCUUUAUAUUUAAGGUAGUUGGCAGGACUUGAUUUUCACAACUUGCUUUAAAAGUUAACAACUACAGUAGUUGAUAAUACUUUAUAUAUGGGUUUUAGAAAUGGAUUGAGAUGUAUUUUAUCAGAUGAAUUCAACUUGGUUGGAUUUAGUUAUAAGCUUAUAGAUUUGCUUUUUGAUAUAUUAAUUAAUAAUUUGAAUCAAAACAAACUAACUAAAAAUAAUUAAAAGUAGUUCCUACGUUUUUAUUGAAGAUAAUAUUUGAAUUCUUACUAAAAUUUUGAAAACUCUCUUUAUAAUAUUUUGUAAAAAAAGUAUUAUUAUUUAAAAUAAUUUUCCAUUUAUAAAUUUGUUAAUCUUUGGAACAACGUUAAGCAAUAUAUUUAAGGAAGAUGAGAGUAAGAGAAAACAAACCCAAACUAUAGAUUUCAAAAUCGUAUAAGGUGGAAAAGGAAGAUGAGAGUAAGAGAAAACAAACCCAAACUAUAGAUUUCAAAAUCGUAUAAGGUGGAAGCUUGAGAUUUUCAAUUUCAUUCAAAAGCACCUAAGAAGAUCAUAUAUUUAACCCAAAAACUUGAAUAAAUAUUGCAAUUACUCCCAUACAUCUUUAUAAUUAUUUAAAAAUCAUGUGCAUUUAAUUAAUACACACAUGUACGUGACAGGUGUAAUAGUAGUAGGAGGACACAAACCAACCUAGUUUCAUCAACUUUAUUAAAUUCGUGAAUUUAAGAUAUUGAGUUUGAAAAGUACUUUUAAUCAUUACAAAGAAAAUUAAAAGCAAAAUAAAAAGGAAUUUAGCAACCGUAGUUAAUUGAUUUGAAGUUGCAAAAGAUGAAUUGAAGAAGAAUGUAUACGAUUUUUCAUUAAUAACUAUUUGAGUAUCAUAGAGUACAAGGAAAACUGAACAAAAAGCCUUUGAAGAAGGAAUAGGUUGCAAAGUAGAAGGAAAAAUGAAUUACACUCAAAGGCCUAGAUGAGAUGAGAUGAGAGAUGAGAGAUGAGAGAUGAGAGAUGAGAGAUGAGAGAUGAGAGAUGAGAGAUGAGAGAUGAGAGAUGAUACACUCUGCCUAAUUACGAAGUAACCAUUGGCAUAAUAUUGAAACUUUGAAUAACAAAAAAGAAUUUUGACCUAACCUUUCCCCUCCUUUGCCCAACUAAAGUAAAGUGGGAACUGGAAGAUGAUGAUACUGAAGACACCCAUGGCCUCCCCCUCUAAGCAAUUGCAUAUUGGAGUGUUUCCGAUUCACUUGGUCGCCACAUCGACUUCUGAACGCACAGCAAUGCUUCAUUGUCUUUGAAGUAAGUAAAUCGAACCUCCCAUUUCAUUGACUUGAACAUGCUUUCGAGCUCAUUCACUGUUUCUGAGUUGUCCCGAACUAUGAGUUUCCCGUCUGGUCGGAGGAUCCGGUCAGUCUCUGCAACUAAAGCGGCUAUAUUGCACCUGUUUGUGUCCAUUGAGUUAAGCACUUAGUUUAGAUUGGAGCCCAGGAAAGGAGUGAUGAAUGAUGGAGUUAAUGUUAAUGUAGUAUGCUGAACUCACCUUGUUUUGACCUUGGAGAAAAGAUGAUCUGCGUGAAGAAGGUCGUAUGACCUCGGGUAGGUGUUGAAUGAUUCGCACCAGUCGUGAUAUAUGCCGAAUAAACCUCGUUCGAAGAUGAUUGGGAGAGUAUCAGCAGAGUCUAUUGAGACAACGUUCAUAACCCAUACUUUCAAAUUUUUCAAUGCAGCAGCAAAUCUGUGAGGAAGUGAAGAACUAUUCAUAUAUACAAAGAAAAAUGAAGAAUGUUGUAUUUGAGUGAUAGAACCUAGCAAAAGUGUGUCGAUGUCUUUACACAGUAUGUUUUCUAUUUUUAUCAUUUGUCGAUUUACCAGUAGAGCAAUUCAUCCUAACAACUAUAAUAUUACACAACUCAACCUAAAGAAGACGGAAGUAACAGGUAUGAAAAAGUUAAUUGGCAAUGACAUAAAUAUGAUGAUAGCUAUAACUUGAAGUAUAUUUCCUGUGAGGGGGAAGGAGAAUCUUACCCUCCAUAGACAGCUCUCAUGUCCAUGACAUUUCGCACAGUUGACCAGUCGAUUCCCAUGCCAGAUAGAUAUGACUUUGUCACGACCCGAUUCCAGUGUUUAUGAUCUGCAGUGAAAUCCUCUGGAGCAGCUCUUCCAUAAACUCCAACCUGAGAAUCCAACAACCAGUAUGGUGGCUUCUCCAACCUUGAUGGCCAUUGCUCUGGCCAUUUAGAACCACGCUCUGAUUCAUUUGUCGAGAUUUUGUGCAUGCAUGCCUGGAGUGGCACGUUCCUGCAGAAGGUUUGAACAAAUUCAGUAGCAGCAACAGAGCUAUAAAUUUGUUUUUUAAAUAAGUAUUGCAUUUGGGGAAAGAAAAUCUGUCUUGGUUUUACAUUCUAAAUUUGUCUAAGCUUAGCUUAGAAAUAAGAGAAUGAACAAGAAGGCAUAUAUGAAGGGGAAUGAUAAUGGACCGAGGCUCAUUAUUUAUUGAAUCCUUAUUCCUAGAAAUUGGGUCUUGGAUAAAUGAAAGUAAAAAAUUUCUUAACUGGGGAAAUUAAAAUCAUAAAAGAUAAGUACCAUGCUGCACUUGGAUCAUCCGAAUCAGGGCAGAGAGGCGGCUCUUUUUCAUAUCUCUGCUCAUAGCAAUCAUUAUUAGUAGGUUUCCUAUAUAUGGCUGCACUAACGCCAUUCACUGUAUCCUUGUUAAUCGAUAUAAGUUCCCAGCACAUUGCUUUCGUCAGCUCUUUCAUGGCUGCAAAAUGGUUCCACCACAUACAAAGCUAUUAGAACUCUAAUUUUUUGAAGCUCUCUGGUUUAACAUGUAAAUUUACAGCUUAAAUUUUCAAAGGAUAAUAUGGGUUUAAAAAUUGCCAACCGUUCCAUAUUCCAGCAUCUUCAGCAUUCUUCUGAUAGACUGGUGUAGCAGACCACACGAAGAAGCCACCAGGCCGCAACAAACGAUUUAGCUCCAACAGAAGUUUGCCACCUGCACAGUUUCUUCAGAAGUGAGCAUUGAAACACGAGCUAUUCACAAAAUGUUUUACUUCAGUCACUGAUAUGAUGAAGUACCAUAUGAUAUAUCAAAGUGAUCGUGGUUCCAACAAUAGAAAUUUAACCAAAAAUCACAAGAAUUGAGAGAAAGUAUUGACUCAGACGUAUUAAUCAGCACAUUACCUUCUAUGUGCCAUGGUACCCUACAACGAGCACAAUGGACAACAUCAAAAACUCUUCCUGGGUAGGGAAGUCUUUUUGUGCCCAUAACGGCAGAUAUAGCGGGAAUUCCCCUCUCAAGUGCAAACUGGACUUGUGCUUCAUGUUCAUCUUUUGGUGCCAAUGACAUGGUUAGUACGUCUCUUUCAAAAAGAAAUCCUCCAAAGCUGGCCACCCCACAUCCAACAUCCAGAAUUACACGUGAUUGUUUUCCCCAAGCGAGGUCAUUGACAGACUGCAUCAGUAAGAAAAAUUGUGCAUUUGCAAAAGGUUAUCAAGCAUAAAUCACAAAAUGUUGUUCUUCAGUUCAAUAAGUCUAUAAGACUACAGUCAUCUUCGUCUAUCAUUGGAUUGCAUGAAAUUGUAUACAUUAACAAAAUCACUCAAAAAUGUUUUCCAAAGAAGUAGUCGGAAACUAAAAAGAUCAGAAUGAUCAUAUAAAUAUAUACACCAUUAGCGUCGUUGGUCAAUUAUCAAUAUCAUACAACAAGACUUCCUCCAAUCCAAAGCAUCAAUAACAAAGACUUCAUCAAAUAAGAACUUUUCUUCCCUAAAAAUAGAAAAGAAAAAAAAAUUGCGAGCUUUCCAAAUGUUACUAAUAACUAAUUUUUUGUGUUUGGUAAUGUUCUAAAUUACACCUCUUCGUGUAAACACAGAGGAGGGUGGAGGUGCAAUCUGUCAAUACGGGGGGUAGGCUAAUAUCGAGGUUGAUCAAUAUCCCUGAGUGAGUUCCAGCUAGAAUGCUAAUGAUAAACUUGAAUUUGUGAAAUAAAGCUGUGGUGGAGGACGUAGAAUAGAUAAAAGAUAAACCACCAAUGGUAGAGACGGUAAUGUGGAAACCAAAUGAGCAUGUUAACAUAUUAUACUAACAGGGCUCAAGGAAAGGAAUGUUACCUCCUGUAUGAAGUCAAUAUAGUGAAGAGCACCGUGCUUGAACUGGGUCCCACCACCAGGAAAUGUUAAGUACUCACCAGAAACCUUAACCCAAUUUUGAUGUCCCUUAACUUCAGCAAGUUUUGUGUGGGGAACAUUAUAGUACCAUAUCUGCAGAAACACACUCAAUUAGAACAUCAAAGGAUGGAAGGGAAAAAAAUAAAAAGCUGAACCUAUAAGACGCAUUUUCUGAAUUAAAAUUGUUAGAUCUCUUUAACCUUUUCCCUGCUAGUUGGCCAUGCAAUUGGGCGUCUGUAGCCCUCUGGAAGUGAAACAAGGCAGGUGGGAGGUUCUUCAGGACAAUGCCUCUCUCGAUGUUCAUAAUGUUUUGUACUUGGAAGACUCCUAAUUGCUUGCAAAUUGUCGAGGCAAGGAAUGUAAUCUGAUCCAGCAGUAACGUUGCAAAGUUUCCACACGUACCCAGAUUGUUUCGUGGAAGAUCUUUGAGUCUCUUUUUCAUUCUUUGACUCUGCUGCUUGAGUUGACCAUGCCCCAUUUUGUGUUGAUGUUUCAUUCAAAAGCUCCGACUGAGCACCAGAAGGAAACUCUUCACUAGUUUUGGAUUGGUUAUUUUCAUUUGUGUCAUCAGUACUUUUUUCUUCUUGCUUCACAUUCUCUCCUUCCUGACCGUUAUUGUUUUCUCCAUCUUUAGUAUCAUUUGAGUCAUCUGUUUUUUUCUCCUCGUCCUUUUUCUCGUCUGUAUCAUUUGAAUUUGAUUGUUUCUCAUUAGAAUUCUCCUCAGUAUCUCCUUGUCCACCAGAUCCAUUGUCACCACCCUCGGGCUUAGAUUCAGAACCUUGUUCUCCAUUUUCCUCCUUAGAAUCACCAUCUUCUGUUUUUCUACCAUCAUCUGGUUUAGUUUCCUCAUUCCCUCCGUUCUUGUCCUCAUUCUGUUCUUCGGACUUCUCUUCAAGCUUCUCUUCAGGCUUCUCUUCCGGUUUCUCUUCCGGUUUUUCUUCUGGCUUCUCCUCUGGCUUAUCCUCGGGCUUCUCCUCAGGCUUCUCUUCCUGAUUUUCCUGCUGACUAGAACCUUCAUUGUCGUCCCCUUUCCUUGCAUCGUCAGGCAAAUCUCCUGGAUUAUCUUCAAAAGGCUGAGUUUUUCCCUCAUUGGUCUCAAUCACCUGACUUUUUGCCAGAUUUUUGUUCUCCUGUGGCACAUCAAUGUUUUGAACCGGAACUACAGAUGAUGACGUUAACAUCCAUAUUCCAACCAAACACAAAGCAACGAAUACAACAAUGGUCACUGUUGAGCAAUAACUCGACGACGACCUUCUGUUAUCUACUCUCGAAUACUUUCCCAAUGCCAUUUCUAAUUGUAACGUUAUAUCCUAACGAGUUUGCACCUGAAAAUGGAAAGGGAAUAAACAGAUUAGUCGAUUAGAAAAAGAAGAAAAAAACGUAUCAAUUAGUUGAAUACACAAAGAUCACCGACAGCCUGCAUUCAUACUAGCAAAAGAUAUCAUGAAAAGUGAAACUUGGUCCCAAAAGCCGUUCAAACAUCAACGUCAAAUAAACAAUUAAAAGUCCGAAAUACAGAAAUUCAACUUAAGAGAAAUGUAUCACAAAUCUGACUAAAACACUAAGAAAAGUAUUCAAGGAAGAAAAAUCAGCCAAAAUUCACGGCACAAUUUCCGCAAUCAAACACUCACUGAAGUGGUGACAACUGACAUAGACAAUGAAGAUCAAGUAAAUCAACUUCGAUACACAUUAAAUCAUAUAAAGCAAUGAUUUAGUACAUCCAUACAAAAUAAGGUCGAUCCAGAACAGAGCACAAAAACAAAUAUCACUCGCAUAAACAAAACCCAAAAACCACGUAAAGUUAUAAUGAAAACACAACAUCAUUCACUCACGUACAAUGAAACACAACAAGAACAUAAACAAACUCCAUCAGAUCUACAUUCAAUCAGCAGAAAAACGACUAAAUCAGACACCAAUGCGAACCGAAACAGCAACAAAGAACCAUAAUUAACCAAUAACCAAAUUAGAUCUACACUAAAAACGCGUAAAAAAUGAAAAAGGCAACAAAAAAACAGGAGCAAAAAAAAAAAGCUAAAAUAUGCUGAAUGUAAGAAGGAAAGAAAAAAGAGGAUAAUGAACAAGAUCUAAGCGAUCUAAACAGGCAAGAGUAAACAACAGCGCGAUAGCUUACCUAGAAAAGAACAGAUCUAGAAAAGAAAGACAGAAAAAGGGGAUUGAAACUAUUCCUCCAUUUUUCUCCGGCAGCGCAGAGAGGAUGAAAUGUAAUGGUGGAAGAGCGAAUGAAGGGGGAGAGGAGAUUUAAUAGAGAAGAAGAGAGAGCAAGAAGAAUUGUAGCUGGUGGAAUUUAAUUAAUUCAAAAAUUAGUUUAAUUUAAUUACAUGAUUAAUUUUCUAAUCAUAUUCCAGUGUCCAAAAAACCGACCUUUAGAAAUGGCUAACAAAAUACGCGGUGAGGAGAAAGAGAGAGACACGCGCGCGCGUUCUACGGAAUAACGGUGGAAACUUUGAGAGGGAGAACCCCUGCGCGUGUUCUUCACACGCAGUAGAUUGGAUGUGGGUGAAUGACAUGUGGCAAUCCCUAAUUAAUCCCAGCUUUCUUUAUUUAAUAUUUUUUCUUGCUUUUUUUUUUUUAUUUUUUAUUUUAGUUCUCUAUAUAUUUAUUUCAAAAGUCAAAAAAUAAAUAUAAAAAUUCUUAUGCAUUAUAAUUAUUUUUCUCUUUCACUCAACCAUCGCCAUAUUGAUGUUUUAGCUAAUUGAUUUAUGAAAGAUGGAAUUGAUGAAUUUGAUUAUUCAUUCAUUUUUAGAUUUCGUAUUUAACCAUUUUACAAUAAAUAAUAAUUAUUUGUUAUGUUUGAAAUUUUAUUAUAUUAGAAUAAAAAAUUAAUGGUUGUAGAACUUAUCCAACAUUUUCCAAAUUUAAAAAUAAAUUGUUUGAUGAACAAAUGUAAAUUUCAAAUCAAUGAUGUAAUGAAAACGUAGUUAUAUUUAAUGGGUUUCAGUUGUAUUUGGUAAUUGUUUGAGAAAUUGUAUUUUGACUUAAACAAUUUUGUAUUGGAUAUUAUAUUUAUAAAUGAUCAUUUAUUUAAAUUACUCACUCGUGAUUUGAUUUUUUUAAUUAUUGUUUUGUAAUAUCAUAUAAGAAUUACAUAAUAAAUAUUAUUUUUUUAAAAAUAAAGGUGGGAUUUUUGUAAAAAUAAAAUAUUAUAUUUCUAGUUACUUUUUAAAUUUUUAAUAUAAUUCAUCAGUUUGAAAAUUUAUAAUUGAAAUGUUGGGUGUAAUUGAGAUUGUUUGUUAAAUACAUAUUUAUUGUACACGAUAAAUAUAAAUUUAUAAUUUUUAUUGGUCGAUAUAAUUUUUAAAAUUUUUCUGAUCUAAACUUCAAAAUCUAUCAUUUUGUUUGUUUGAGUAAUAAUUUCUUUCUAUAAUAUGUAAGCCGAUAAUCUUUACGUCAAUUAUUACUUCGAAUUAUAUAUUCUUUUUCACAUUAGAAUAUUAUCAUGUCAAUGUGUGUUAAAGUUUGGUUUUUUCCAGUAAAUUGUAAAGAUAGUUCAAACGAUUGUUUUUAGGUUUUUCUUUUUUAUAGCACAACAACUACAAGGUAAGAGAUCAAAUCUUCAACAUCUAAAAAAUGUCGUGUUAAUCACUGUUAAGCUAAAUUUAUAUAUAUUCGAUGAGAUCUUCAAAAAAUUAUUUUGGUGAAAUGAACUUUGUAUGUAUAUUGAUUUCAGUAUAAUGAAGGCAAACUCUAAUAUUUGAUCAUUUGAUGUUUUCUCUUGGAAAGUAAAACUAUCUUGAAAUAUAUUUUUUUUUUUAAUCUUGUUCUCAAGUUUGAUUUGUCUUGAGGGCUUUGCCACUUGUUAUUAUAGGCUUUUAGUUCAGAGUUAUAGCUCUUAAAUUUGAAAAUGGUUUAAGUUUUUAAGUGCCUUUAGCAUUUAAAGACGUGUUUGAUUCUCAACAAUCUAGUCAGUGAUUUACUUUUUUGAAUUCUCUCAAUAUCUUCCUUGGAGUUUUUAACUUCUUAAAUCUUUAAAAGAGCAAAAUAAAAUUAUAUUUGAUGUGUCGGUAUUAAGAGAUUUAGUCUAUUUCAUAAUCUUCAAAUGCUUCAGGGAACCUAUAUUCAAAUAUUUAAAACUUCAAUCUUUGGAUUUUUAGAGCUUUCGAGCUUUGUCGACUUUCAAACCUAUAUAAGAUAUCUCAAGUAUCUUGAUCUUCAAAACUUGAUAAAAAAAAAUUGCACUUUCAAUCAUCCGUCUUUAAAUCCUCAAAACUUUUAAGUGUUAACCUUUUCUUCCAACCCCUAAAAUGAGGAGUAAGACCUCAAUAUAUAUACGAAGAUGCCAAGGGCUUAGCUACAGUUCCUUUUAAGCCAAAAAUUAGGCUAAGUUUGUUCUUUGGCCCAAAAUUCUAGGCAUCGACGUGAAUUAGAUACACUGAAUUUUAAACCAGGACAACUUUAAUUUCUCGAUCCAAUUCAAAUUAUAUUUGAGACUCAAGGAGUAUUAGCCAAGUAUACCAAUCGUGGUCUAGGCUAGAUCACUAGUAAAUUGAACAAGUUAUUUUUGUGAUGAAUGACUACAAAGAAGACACAUGACCUUUUUUUAAUUCACCAUUCAUUAGCAUCCAAAUUUAAAAUUUGAGAAAAUAAUGAUGAAUUGGGUCUAAAAUUGAAUAAAAUGAACUUCUUCCAAAAACAAUAGAUUAUAAUAUUUGGUAAAUAUAUGAAUUGAGGUGUAUAAGAAGAGAAGGUGGCACUUAGAUCUCGAUCUCCAUCUUCUCGAAGACGUGACAGCGACUAUGGACCCACGCGGUUCAAACGCCUCAUCAAUUGCUCCCUUUUUGUUUCUUUCUUUCUUUUUUUUAAAAUAUUAUUAUCAUUAUUAUUAUUAUUAUUCCUUCAUACUUCAUAGUCAUGUUUUAUCUUUUAUCUUUUUUCCUUUUAAUUUCUUAAUUAGUAUUUUAUUUUGAUAAUCGCCCUAAAUAGCAAAAUACAUCAAAUAUUUAUACUUUUUAGAAAAACGAUUAAAAAUAACACAAUAUUUUGAUUCACAAUUAUUUCUAAAAAAUUAAAGAUAAUUAAACAAUAUUUUGAUUCACAAUUAUUUUAAUUUAAAGAUAAUUAAACAAUAUUUUUGUUCACAAUUAUUUCUAAAAAGAUCAAAGAUAAUUAAAUUUUUAUUUUAGUAAUUCUUUUAAAAUGUGUAAACAAUCUUUUUUUAUUAUUCUUGAAAAAUUUAGAGACGUGUUCAAAUAUAACAAAAAAAUUGAAACUAUUUACAAAAGAAAUAUAGUAAAAGUUAUUGAAUUCUAUUUAGCACGUACUUUUAGAUUAUGAAAAAUUGUCAAAAAUAACAAAUUUGACAAAAUAUUUAUAUCAUAUAGCAGAAUUUUAGAUUCUAUCGAUAAUAAUAUAGAAUCCAAAACUUUUGUUAUAGCUUGUAAAUAUUUUAAUUUAUUUUACUAUUUUUAUAUAUUUUGUGAAUAGUUUCUUCAUCAGAAUUUCUAUAUAUAAAACCAAAUAUUGAAAAUUUUUAAUUAUUACAAAAUAACUAAAUGAAAAAAAUAUUUACGGUUAAGACCAAAAUAUAUAUAUAUUUUUAAUUCACUAGUAGUUAUCUUUAUCAAAUAUUAAAAUUUAGUGGUGUAUAUAUAUGUUUAAUUUAAAUAACAUCAUGCAGUUAUAUAAAUAUUAAUAUAUGUAGAGUCAAUUAAUUGUCCUAACAAAAAAAACCUUAUUCCACUUUACUACUUUUAAAACUUCCUAUUUAUUUUCCUUCAAAAAAAAAAAAAAAAAUAGAACUCUACUAUUUAAAGAAUAACAUGGACCCUAUUUAAGUGUAAUUGAGAGUGUUUUCAAGAUGUAGCCCAUGUGCCAUCUCUUUCCUUCCCUCAAUUAAAUAACUAAAAAUAAAGAUGCCCUUUAACUCACCUUUUUCUAUAUUAAAAUAAGUAUUUGAAUAUAUUAUAAUAAUAAAUAUUAAAAAACUACAAAUUUCAUCCUAAUUUUAUUUUUGUUCAAUCUAUAUUGUUUGAUAAAAUAUCAUUAAGUCCAAAAUUUUCAUAAAUUGUUUUCAUAGACGUUGAAGAAUGAAAUCGAAAAAACUAACCCUUAAAAUAGAUAUUUAACGUUUAGACAUAAAUAGAUAUAUAUAUCAACUUGUUGUACAGUCUAUCACAUAUACAAAUUAAAUUUUUGUUAUAUUAAUAAAUAAGUUAGUUGAUUUUGUUAUUUUUGAAAUUGAGGUAAGAGUUUAGGUUAGUUGAGUUGAAGAUGUUAUUAAUUAUUUAAAUUUUUUCUCUUAUCAAAAAAAUGAAAAUUGUCUGAGUUACACUAAUUAUUAGCUAGUAAUAAUUUAUUUUUAAAUUUGAAUCUCUGCAUUUUUUCUUGAAUGAUUAAAUUAAAAGAUUUGUGAGAUACUAGGAAAAAUACAAAAUUCAAAUUGAUUCCUCCAUACAUUAAGGUUGAACAUAAUAAUCAUAUGAAAAACUAUAUAUAUAUAUAUAUAUAUAUAUUAUUAACCACAAUAUGCAAAAUUUGACACUUGUAUAGUUGGGCUAUUGUUCAUUCAAUAAUUAGUCCUUUUGUUUUAUUUUUCUAUUUUAUAAAGAAAAAUUGUUGUGUUUUUAUUUAUAUAUAUCUUUUAAUCAUUACAAAGGCCCAUACUUCGGCCGUCCGACGGCAGGAAUUAUAGAAGUUUGACGCCGGUAAUAUAAUAUAUGAUUUUAUGUUGUCAAUUUAGGUUUUAUUCCAAAAUAGAUUUUAACCAUUAGAUAUUUUUUUCUUGGGUCAUAUUUGAUAAUUUCUUAUAAAUAUUUUUUCUCAAUGAUUAUAAAACAUUUUUGGAAUGUUUUCUCAAUAAUUAAAAGUAAGAUAAUUCUACUCUCUUGACAAUUUAAUUCACUCCUCGUGUCUUUGCUUUUUUUGAAAAAUAAUAUCUAGAAUGGAAAUAGUACUUUUAAUUUCGAAGUUGAUCAUAUAUAUAUAAAAUGUAAGAUUUCAAAUCUCAUAGGUUACGAACUCUAUCAAAUUUUGAAAAGCCUAAACUAAACAACUGAAAAUAUAACCUAAGUUAAACUAGUCUAACUCAAAGCACUCAAAAAUUGUAAAAAAUGGUUUUAUAGAAGGUUUGAACAAUAGAAAAGAACUCCGAUCGAUCGACUUACAUAUAAUAUGAAAUCAUCACAAUAAUAUUUAAAAGUCUACGCAUAUUUUAAUAGGACGAGAUUACCGGAAGAAAUGAAAAAUGAAAAUUAGUGCAAGAUAUAGAAAAAAGAUAGAGAGAAUAAUGAGUGAGCUAAAGUCGUUGGAACAAAGGAAAAGGAGAAAUUAAUGAGAAUAAUGGACCAAGUCUUACAUGCAAGCAUGUAGGAGACAGAAUAUAAACAUACACACACAUAUGUGAAGCAAAUAAUUGAUUGCAAAUACAUGAGACAUAUGACAAUUAGGAAAUAUAAUCAAAGAUAUUAGAAAGAUCCCAAAUUUAUUGAGUUCCGAGAUGGUUUCAAUAUUUGGAAUUAGUAUUUGAUCGAAUUUUGAUAAUCAAAUUCAAACGAUAAUCGAAGAUGAAAAAAUAAGAUGAAGGUCUUUGAGAAUUGCUUGAAUUUCGACCAAAGAAAAAACGAGAGGUAAAUUAUCGUAGUCGAUUGAUGAUGCUGCUACUACAAGGCGGCCUUGACCGUUAUUUUUUAUUUCAUAUGUUGAUUUUUUUGUCAAAAAGAUUUAAUAAGAAUUUUGUUUAUUAUUAUUUUGAAGAUAAAUUAUUAAUUAUAUUAGUAGAUAAAAGAUUGUUAUUUUUAUUAUGAAUCUUUAUCUAUUUCUUUUUAAACAAGAAAAUUUGCGGGGUCUUUAAUUGUGAAGCUUCUCGCAAGUUUAGUGUGCCGAAUUAUUGGACUUUUAUUCGAAGAAAUUCGUGUUGCUGAAGAAGCUUGUUGAAGGUACUUUAGUUACCUUAUGUGUUAUGGUAAAUUGCUGAUUAGAAUCUAGAGGUGUUCUCACCAUGUAUCAAUUGAUAAUAAAUAUGAAAGAAGACUGAAAUAGUUCAACUGCGGUCAAUGAAUUCAGGGGAACUUGAAUUUAUCUUCAAGUAGAUUUAAACACAGAUUCAAGAAAAUCUAUCUUUGAUUAAUUGGUUUCUAUUAUAAUUUAAGAAUGUUGUUGAUUGAUCAAUUGAAUCUUAAUAAUAUUUCUUAUUUGAGCUAAUAAGUUUGCUCUAGACAUAGGUGCAUGCAAACUGGUUUAACAACAGUUUUUGUGUUAUUCGUUCUUUAUGUACUUACGAUAGCUAUUUUUGUUGUUAAUUAUUUUUUCGACAUAGCUAGAAGAUAUUAUUCAUCAUUUCACUUAAUUUUAACACAUUAGAUAUAAUUUAUUAUUUUACAUACAUAUGUGGAUGGAGAUGGAGUUUUUUUUCUUUUUAAAUGUUAUUUAUGAUAUGAGGGAGAACCUUGAUCUUGGAGUCCUCAACCCAAAUUAGGGUGGAAAUGGUUCAAUUCGAUAACCAAACCGAACUUAAUUGAAAAGUUUAAAAUUUCUAUAUAGGAAACAUAACCAAACUGUAUUUAUGCAGUUUGCUUCAGUUUCAAAUUUGAUUUUAGUAUUCUUAAAAAAAAUAAUUCAAUUUGGUUCGAUUUUGUUAUAAUCUAAAAAAAAAUCAAUUUGGUUCGAUUUUGUUAUAAUCUAAAUCAGAAACGAUUCAGUUUUACUCAAAUUUUUAAAUAUAUAAAUAUAAAAAUAGAUGUAUAUAAUAGUUAAAAUAUCUGUCUCGUUUAUAGAGAUUAAAAUGAUUAGUGUAUCAAAUCUCAUAUUCAUAAUUGAAUUCCUAACCUUCAUCGAGUUCUUAAGGAAAAAAAAAAAAUAUUUUGAAGAAUUUAUAAUUGAUAUUUGAUUUUUUUAAAAAAAUAGUAGAUGUUACAAAAUAUUUAUAACUUAUAGCAAAUUCUAUCAAUGAUAGUCAUUAAUAUACUACAGCGAUAUAAGACUCUAUCAGUGAUAAAAUUCAAAAUUUUUGCUGUAGCUUGUAAAUAUUUUAAUUUAUUUUACUAUUUUAAAAAUUUCUCUUGAAAAAUUUACAAAUAUAGCAAAAUUUGUCAAAUUUUAUCAUUGAAAGAAGUCUAUCAUUGAUAGAUCAUGUUGCAAAUAUUAGUCUAUUACUAAUAGAUCAUACAAGCCUGUAAACAAUACAAGUCUAUCAGCAAUAUUUGUAAUUUUUUUGAAAAAAUGUUGAUACAUCUUUAAUUAUUAUUUAUAAACUAUAAUUUUCUUUUUAAAAAUCUCCAUAAUAAUUUAUACAAUUUCGUAAGUUAAAAUUUUAUUAUGUUUCUUUUUCUAUAAACAAAUUUUAACAAAUUUUAUAGUUAAUAAUAAUUUUGAGUUUAUCUUUUUCCCAAAUGUAUGUGUGAAUAAAUAAAGUUAAAUAUAACAGUUGACAACUAUUUAGACCUCAAAAUAACGUAGAGAGCUAAACUAAUUCGUCUUCCUUAACGCGGAAGACGAAUUAUUAUUUUAUAGUCAAACUGUAAAUACCCAAUGAAAGAAUUUCAAGAAAAAUUUCAUGUUCUUCCUUUGAUUCUGCGAUUGGGGAAAUUGGAAAAACUUUGAAGUUUACAUUUUUAGAUUUCUAGGUCACGAGUUGUUGAAGAAUCACAUAAGAGGAAGCUUGUGAGUUGAGCUUUCCGUUUAUUUAUUUUGGUCAAACUUUUUUCUUUCCUACUGAACCCAUGGCUGAUUGUUAAAUUUCGUUGUUCAAGUUUCCAGAAUUUAUAAAGGUAUGCAUUUUUUAUCUAUUCAUUAUUUUAAUCUGGACAUUGAUUUAAUACAAUGUUGGAUGCUUUUAAGUCAUUUGAAUUUCAAAUUCAACCUCACUGAUUUUGGUUUAGAGUUUAAAUGGAAGUAAUGUUAUUGGUUUUGAUGAAGGGUUUAUUAUUGAAUUUGUUUGUAUUAUCUAUUGGUUAUUUCAUUUUGUUAUUGUUCUGUUUGAGUGCUGUACUACUAGAAUAUGAAUGGACAAUCUUCAAUGAAGUAUUUGGGGAUUAUAAUGUGUAAUUUGUAGAAGAUUUGAAUGAACUAUCUUGAAUGAACGGUUUAGUUAAGUUACCAGCCUUCUAAUUGUCUGUAUUGACAGAGGAUUUCAGUUCCUUGAUUGUUUAUUUUAAUGUCCUACCAGGUGUCUAAUCUAUUCAACCGGGCCAAUCGAUAGAAGUUUUAUAAUUAGCCACAGACUUUACUUACUCCUUCUAGUUUGCCAUACGAUCUUAAAAUGGUGCCUCUUUCUGAUCUUUUCCCAUCCUUUGAUCACUGUGCUCGUCUCUUUUCAAAAUGCAUUCAACACAAACAUUUAAGGGUUGGCAUGUCCUUGCAUUCCCACCUUAUCAAAACUGCACUUUCAUUUGACCUCUUCCUUGCAAAUCGUCUUAUUGACAUGUAUUCCAAAUGUAAUUCUAUGGAAAAUGCACAGAAGGCAUUUGAUGAUUUGCCCAUUAGAAAUAUUCAUUCGUGGAAUACCAUUCUUGCGUCCUACUCUCGUGCUGGAUUUUUUAGUCAAGCUCGUAAAGUCUUUGAUGAAAUGCCUCAUCCAAAUAUUGUUAGCUACAAUACCUUGAUUUCUAGCUUUACUCACCAUGGGCUGUAUGUAGAAUCAAUGAAUAUCUUUCGACAAAUGCAACAAGAUUUCGAUCUUUUAGCCUUGGACGAGAUUACUCUUGUGAGUAUAGCAGGUACUUGUGCCUGUUUGGGUGCUUUGGAGUUCUUGCGUCAGGUUCAUGGAGCAGCUAUUGUCAUUGGAUUAGAGUUUAAUAUGAUUGUUUGUAAUGCUAUAGUUGAUGCUUAUGGUAAAUGUGGCGAUCCAGAUGCGUCAUAUUCUAUUUUCAGUAGAAUGAAGGAGAGAGAUGUUGUUACCUGGACCUCCAUGGUUGUAGCUUAUAAUCAGACAUCCAGGUUAGAUGAUGCUUUUCGAGUUUUCAGUUGUAUGCCAGUAAAAAAUGUUCAUACUUGGACUGCAUUGAUUAAUGCUUUAGUGAAGAACAAGUAUAGCAAUGAGGCCCUGGAUUUGUUUCAACAAAUGCUGGAGGAAAAAACUUCUCCAAAUGCUUUCACAUUUGUAGGCGUUUUAAGUGCCUGUGCUGAUCUUGCUUUGAUAGCAAAAGGCAAAGAGAUUCAUGGACUCAUAAUCAGAAGGAGCAGUGAACUUAAUUUUCCAAACGUAUAUGUAUGUAAUGCUUUAAUUGAUCUGUACAGCAAGAGUGGUGACGUGAAAUCAGCUAGGAUGUUGUUUAACUUGAUUCUUGAAAAGGAUGUAGUAUCGUGGAAUUCAUUAAUAACUGGGUUUGCACAAAACGGGCUUGGAAGGGAAGCACUUCUUGCCUUCCGAAAGAUGACAGAAGUAGGGAUAAGGCCUAAUAAAGUGACGUUUUUGCUGUGCUGUCUGCCUGUUCCCAUACUGGUUUGUCAUCUGAAGGAUUAUGUAUUCUGGAGUUAAUGGAGAAGUUUUAUGAUAUUGAGCCUAGUUUAGAACAUUAUGCAGUCAUGAUCGAUAUGUUUGGAAGAGAAAACAGACUUGCUGAAGCAUUGGAUUUAAUAUCCAGAGCACCCAAUGGAUCAAAACACGUUGGGAUAUGGGGUGCAGUUCUGGGGGCUUGUCGUAUACAUGAAAAUUUAGACCUGGCUAUAAGAGCUGCAGAAACUUUGUUUGAGAUGGAGCCAGAUAAUGCUGGAAGAUAUGUAAUGUUAUCUAAUGUAUUUGCUGCAGCAAGUCGAUGGAUGGAUGCCCAUAAUGUGAGAAAACUUAUGGAGGAAAGAGGUUUCAAGAAGGAAGUAGCAUAUAGCUGCAUAGAAAUAAGAAAUAUAAGGCAUAAGUUUGUGGCAAGAGAUAAUUCCCAUAGUCAGAUGGGUGAGAUAUAUGAGUUAAUGUUUAUACUACUAGAGCAUAUGAACAUUAUUGGUUACAUGGCUCUUGAUGAUGGUAUUUACUUUUAUGAUGGAUACAGUACUUGAACUUUGGGCAUGAUCUAUUUGAAUCCCGUGUCUCACCAUUGCAAAUAUAUUGUAAAAGUUAGCAAUUUCAUUGAAUGAAUUUGAGAAUAUGAAGCGGAACGAUUAAGCUACAAGGCUGAGAAGGACGGAUUGCUAUCAAGUAGGAGAUCUUGAUUUUAUUUUAUUUAUUUGUUUUAGUAUUAUUAUUGUUUUUGUUUGUGGUAAUAUACAUCUAGUUUUAGUCGGUAAUGCAUGAGAAUAUUUAUCAUUCAACAUUUCAGUGGCUAAAUGAAUCAAUUAUAGGUCAUCAUCAUCGUGCUUGUAGUAUUUUAUUUUCUUUCCCCACCAUAUUUGUGUGAUACCAUUACAAAUAAUCCUAGAAAAAAUUGUGAAAAUUUGAACUUGUACAGGGCUGGACACGACUGGGCACACCAAGGUUAAGAAAAAAAUAGAUUUUCUUAAUUCUUAUAGACUGAAUUUUUGUAAAUUGAUCAAUCUUAAAGUAUGAGGACGCUAUCUUCUUUCUUUAGUCAUAGCCAACUAAUUCCAUUUAUAUCUUGUAAGAUUUGAAAUGUCGUCAAUUGGCUAAGCUCUUUAUCUUUUUGGUGAAGUACUGUAACAAAAACUUACACGUUUUAUUGAUAAAGAAGUAUAAUAUCGAUAUCAAUAUAUAGACAUAUGUUUUAUCAUAAAAAAAGUGCACGCAUCCUACUUUUUUAGAAAUUGACCUGUCAUCAUGUUUGUUUUGUGUUGCUUUGGUGUUUUCAUUUUUUUUUAAUUUUCUUUAUGUAUUGGUGACUCUGAUUCUUACAUCCUAUUAUAUUAUCCAAUAGGAAGAUUGUCUUUGAUUAAGAGAUAUCUUUCAUGGAAUGUGGCUCACUAGUGAUUUUCGUCUUGCUGCUUUUCUUUCUGUCUUCAUGACUUUGAUCGUUUCUUCCUUUUCUGUAACUUGCUAGGAAGACUGCUGUACUGGAGGUAAAAGAGCUGAUGAAGUUCUGUUCUUAAUUUAGACGGAAAAGUUUGUAGGUGUGAGGGCUCUAAGAGUUAGUUUGCAGAGAUGAAAUUCAGAAAUAAUUUCCCUGUAAGAGGGCAUCAUCUUUUCUUGGUCGUAGUUGCUCUCACAUUCACUGUCUUGGUGUUGUGGGCUUGGGAGAAUCCUUUCCUUACCGCUUCUCAGUCAGUUCAAGCAUGGUAUAGAAAUUCUUAUGCAGGUAUGCUUGUCAAUGCUUGUUUAUAACUCUAGAACUGGUCUACUAUUAAAUUAGACUAGUUUUUGGUAUUCUUCGUUGUUCUCUUCUUGUUGGAACUAUUAGAUUUUUGAGUUCAGUAGUACAUUUCUUUUUUAUGACAAAGACAAUCUGAUUGGAGAAAAGUGAAGUUUGGGAGGUUAAAGGAAGUAAGCUAAAUAUGGCCUUUAUACACAGUUUUUGGUUUCUCCUUUAAAAUUUUGAAAUUUGCUCUCAAAGGUAUUGACUUUUUAGUCAAGUUACUAUUUUCAAUAACGUGGUUGUAGUUGAGUAGAGAAACUAUGACGUAACAUUGACAACCUUAUAUUCUAUGAAUGGAAAAUAUUUGAAUGUUAAGUUUUUAUCUCAUUUCAUCCAAAUUAGAAAAUCCCGUUGGCCUUACCUAAAUAGAAGCUUACUUGAUGGACAACUUCAGUGUACAUGCUCCUUCAGUUUCAUGCAACUCUCCCCAUUCACUGUUGGUGCAGCCUUUUCUCUUGACUCAUGCUACCAAUCCCCUUUCUCGCAAACCUAUAUUAUUCAGCCUUAAUGCUCUUAGAAACCUACCCCAUGAGCAUACGGUUCUCCUUUCAUUUCUUUUAGUAAUUGGGUCCGUGGGUUUUCUUCUCCAAAAUAGUUGGUUGGACUUUUUUUUGGAUGUCAUAGUUGGUUGGGUUUUUAAUAUAAGAGAGUUGGUAAAUUUUUAAUAUAAAAAACUGCCAAUAUUUUUACAAUGCUGCAUCACUGUUGCUAUAUCAAUUUCAACCACAUUUAUUGAAUACGGAUGUUUUUGAAAAAUUUGGAACUUUGAGGACAAAAUUGAAACUGUCAAAUUGGCAAAAGAAGAAAUGGUUCAUAAAUGUAAUGAAUUUAGUUAAAUGCUGAAACAUAUUCAAAUGCAAAUUUAAUGUAUUUUGCCUUCUCUUGGUAUAUUUGUACCUCGCUGAUGGUUUUUAUUUGCUUAGGGUUCGUCGUAGGUUCAACAAAAAGUUCUGUAUUACCUAACACAGUAAGGGAGAACGUUGAAAAAACAUAUUCAAAUUCAAGUAUAAAGAAGAGAUAAUACAAGAUGAUGCAAAUUCAGAAAUUACACCCACAGAUUCUGCAUUCCAAAUAGUUCUUGAGAGGAGCAAGAGUAAUCAGAAUAGUAAGUACUGAGCCUAAACUAGUGGUGCUGUUUUCUAAUCACUAGUUUGCAUGUUAUUUUCUCUUUCAGAAUUGUUCCCUACGGUUGGGUAACCGUUAGGAGUUUCAUGGUGGCGUAAUCCUUGCUUGUGAUUGAAGCUUAUUUCUUAUUGAUUUUUGUUCAUGUCUCAAAAGAGAAGUUUUACGAUUUCUCUCAUUGUAGAAGGGAAAAUUCUAAAUCAGCUAUUUAACUCUUCGUUUUAUUGGCACAUGAUUUGUUUGUUAGUUAACUAACGGUCUAAGUAGUUUUUGGAACUAUUUUAGAAACCUUUAUCAAACCUCAAGGACUAAAAUGUUCAUUUUGAAACUUCAUGGACCAAAGAGACAUCCACUUUAAAUCUCAAAGACCAAAAGUGUAUUUUGCCAUUUUAUUUUAUUUUUAGAUUUCAUAGUUGGUUGGAUUUUUUAUAUAAGAGGGUUUGGUAAUUAUUUAAUAUAAAAAAAUGUCAAUUCAAAGAAAAACAUCACCAUUGAAAUAUCAAUUUUCAACCACAUUUAUUGAAUAUGGAUGUUCUUGAAAAUUUUGACACUUUGAGGACAAAAUUAAAACUGUUAAAAUCAGCAAUAUAAAAGAUGGUUCAUAAAUGUAAUGAAUUUAGAAAAAUGCUGAAACAUAAAUGCAAAUUUAGUGUAUUUUGCCUGUUUUUGCUAUUUGUGUACCUUGCUGAUGUUCUUUAUUUGUUUGGGGUUCAUGGUAGGUUCCACAAACAGUUCUGUAUUGCCUAACACAAUAAAGGAGAAUUCUGGAAAAACAUAUUCAAAUUCAAGUACAAAGGAAAAGACAGUAAAAGAUGAUGCAAACUCAGAAGUUAAACUUACAGAUUCUGCAUCUACAAUAAUUUUUAACAGGAGCAAGAGUAAUCAGAAUAGUAAGUACUCAGGCCAAAAUCGUGGUGCUGUUUUCUAAUUACAUACUUAGCAUAUUUAUUUUCUCUUCGCAAAAUUGUUCCCUUCAAUUAUGAAACCGUUGGGAGUUUCAUGGGGGCGUGAUCCCUGCUUACUGUUUAUGAUUGGAGCUUCUUUCUUAUUGACUUUUAUUGAUGUCCCAAAAGAGAAAUUAUUUUACAAUCUCAUUGUAGAAGGGAGAAUUCUAAAAUGAAGGAUACCUAGAGAUGUUUUGAAUAUUUUGAUAUCUUGAAACUCAUGAUAAUUCAAAAUGUGCUUUAUCAGUCGUUUACUUUGUUCGAUGCUAUGUUCUUGAUUAAAGAUCUAGUCGUGGUAAAAAAAUUUGACCGGUAUCCUUUUCCUAGUGUUGUUACUCUUUACAUCAGAGCCCUCUUAUAGCAAUAAAGAGAAAGGAAACCAUAUGGAUUGUUGUUGGUGAAAUUUUCAAUUAUUUAGACCAUAUGGAUUAUGGCUUUAUAGAACAAAUUUUCCUCAUCUAAGGUCUAUGUUUUCCUCACGAAACAAAGCUUCGAUUGUUAAAUAUUGAAUUAUAUUGAUAUCAGGCAUUUAUCAUGAAGGCCAUGACAUGCAUAUUAAUCCAAUAUUUAAUUUUAUCUAUGAAAUUAGCUUAUUCAGUGCACAUUAAAUCGGUUUGUUUGUUAUAUUGACUGAUUUAACUUUUCAGCCUGUAGCUAUGGAAAUGGAGGAUGGGUCCUUGACAAUAGUCGACCGCUAUACUCUGGCUUUGGAUGUAAGAGAUGGUUAUCAGCAAUGUGGUCAUGUAGACUGACCCAACGGACAGAUUUUUCCUAUGAAAAAUAUCGUUGGGUUCCCAAAGAUUGUGAAUUGCCAGCAUUUGAGCGGUCUGCAUUCCUGAAAAGGUAAUGACUUCCUUCUAUAUUUUUGCAUAUAGGUUUAGCAAGUCUGAUAAUAUAAAACUGUCUUGUUUUAUUUAGUGUAUUGGUUUUAAAAUUUUCAACCAAACAAUUUCCACCAUACGAUGAAUUCUGAAAGUAUAGGUAUCUAUCUUAUGGUCCUCAACUCUCUGCCAAGUGAACUAUUUAAUGGAUUGUGAUUUACUAAGGUUACUUUCUGCUAUUCUCGACACUCUCUGAAUGAUCUGAAUUUGUUCCAUUCAGAAUGCAGGACAAAACCAUCGCAUUCAUUGGGGAUUCAUUAGGAAGGCAGCAAUUUCAGUUUUGAUGUGUAUGGUCACUGGUGGGGAAGAAAGGCCUGAGGUUCAAGAUGUAGGAAAGGAAUAUGGUCUUGUCAAAGCCAAGGGUGCAAUUCGUCCUGAUGGCUGGGCAUAUCGUUUCUCAAAUACCAAUACUACCAUUUUAUACUAUUGGUCAUCUAGCCUCAGCGAUUUAUUGCCUUUGAACACAUCAGACCCAGCCACCGAUGUAGCAAUGCAUCUUGACCGUCCGCCAGCAUUUCUGAGAAAAUUCCUUCAUCUAUUUGAUGUGUUGGUUCUCAAUACAGGACAUCAUUGGAACAGGGGAAAAAUGAGACAAAAUAGAUGGGUAAUGUACACUGAUGGAGUUCGUAGUGAACUCGGGAACUUAAAAGAAAUAGGCAUAGCUAAAAAUUUUACGGUGCACAGUAUCGUGAAAUGGCUCAAUUCACAACUCCCUUCCCAUCCUCGACUCAAGGUUUUUUUCAGGACCUUAUCACCUCGGCAUUUCCGCAAUGGGGAAUGGAAUUCUGGAGGUAGCUGUGACAACACAAGACCAUUAUCUGGAGGAAGCAAAGUAGAGCAGAAUGGAUCAAGUGAUACAGUUGUUGAGAAUGCUGUAAGAGGUACACAAGUAAAGAUAUUGGAUAUAACUGCUCUUUCAUAUCUAAGAGACGAAGCUCACAAAUCCAAUUACAGUAUCAAAGGAACAUCGAGCGGUAGCGAUUGCUUGCAUUGGUGUCUCCCUGGUAUCCCGGAUACGUGGAACGAGAUUCUUAUUGCACAAAUAUAGAUUCUUUUGUCUUGAAGAUUUUAGAUUUUCUCUCUUGUGUAAUCCUGGAAGACUCAUCUUUCUAAUUUUUGCUGCCUAGAGCUGUACUAAUUGGUUCAGGGGAAGAUGAUCACUGAUGAGAUGGCGUUGGUUGCUACUGAAUUAAAUUAUAUGGUGGGUAUUGCCUACGUGUCAUUUUUCAUUUAAAAAGAGUCAAUUUAUACUUGUAAACUGUAUAAAUUACAUGUAUCAAUUUAAACUAUAAUAAGUAUAUUUCAUUUAACAAACUGGUGGAUCAGCAAAAUGGAUGAUUAGAAUUAAUGCAUUGACAUUUUUUAUAAUUGUACUUUUAUCUAAAGGUUCAAACUGAUUCGAAAAUACAGGCGAGUAAGGGUUUCAAAUGCUUUUUGAUAUGAGACGAGGGUGUAAAGAAAACAUAUUGACUUUUGACUUUAUAGAAUGAUGCUUGAUAAUGUUCAUGUUUCUGUUCUUCUUCAUUUAUCGAGAAAGCAUGCUUGUUUGAUCCUAAUCAUUCCCACCCAUUUGUUUACGAGGCCAUUAGGUAUCAAAUCCUCACAAUCAUUUUUCAAAGUUAUACUAUACAAGAGUUACAGAUUUAUCAACAAAUGAGCUCCUUGUAAGGCCUAUAUAAUUCACAACUACCAAGAAAUCACGGGUAGUACUGCCAUCCUUAAGUAAUAGUUCCUGCUGUUUGGUCGCGAUCAUCUACUGCGAAUUGUGCAAUUUCCUUUACGUAUGGGGCAGACGAACCAUAAUCACCCAGAGGAGUACGCAUAUAUCUAUGUAUCUUUCUAAAUUAUUACUUAAUAAAAGGGUAUACUUUAAUUUGUGUCCAUCUUUCCCAUCAAAAUGUUGUUUCAAAUUUAUAGAACUCUGCUCUCCAAUUUAUUCUAUUCCUUUAGCGAUUACAUUCAACUUAACGAAUAGUAAUCGCUAUUGUUAGGAAUCUAAUUCGUGUAUUCCCUUUUUAUUUAAGAUUAUGGUAAGUUGGAAUCUUAACUCAUUAAUAUCACAUGAUUCACAAUAUUUUAAUUAGGAGUUUUUUUUUCAAAAAUAGAAUAAAACACGACAAUAUUUAUACAACGUGAAAUAACAAAAAUACUUUCAUAAUUAAUCGGUCACACACCAUUUUGUGCCCGUCUAAACGAUCUUGUACCCUUAUACAUAGUCUAAACGAUAAUAUAGUACCAACUCUAAACAAUUUUUACCCAGCCUAAAUGAUCUUGUAAUAAAACUAAAGGAUCUGUUGGUGAUAGUGAUCUAUUUCUGUCUAUUUGAGAUAAACAACUGAUUGUUUACAUGUUAGUACACGAUCGUUUAGAUCCUGUACCAAUAUCGUUUAGAUCUUGGACCAAGAAGAAAAAAGAAGAUAAGAGAGGAAGAAAGAAGAAAUUUUGAAAGAGAAAAUGAAGAAAUAGAAAUAUGAAUAAGGAAAAGUAAUAACAUGAAGAAGAGAAAAAUAAACGUAAAAAAAAAGAACUGAAAAAUUGUCCCGCAAUAAUCAAAAUUCAAUAAAGACAAAUAUGAAAUUUAUAAAAGGGUAAUUGGAUUCAUAGUCUUUUUUUUUUUAAAUUGUUAUACAAAUAGUAAAUAUUUGAUUUAGCACUUUUGUUAUAUUUAUUAAAUUUACAUUUUAAUUAUCUCUAAUUCACUAAAUGUUAUCCUUUUUCUUUCUCGAUUGAAUGUAUCAAAUAAGAUUUAAGGAAAAUUAUUUUUAAAUUUUUUAAAAAUAAAUGUAACAAAAUAUAUCAUAAUGCAUUGACGUUUUUUAUAAACGUGAUUUUAUCUAAAAGUUCAAACGGUUUGGUGUUUGAUAAUGUUCAUGUUUCUAUUCUUCUUCGUUUGUUGAGAAAGCAUGCUUGUUUGAUCAUAAUCCAUUCUCAUUUGUUUCCAAGGCCAUUAGGUAUCAAAUCCUUCCAAUCAAUUUUCAAAUUUAUACUACACGUCAGUUACAGAUUUAUCAAUAAAUUAAUUAAUUUUUCAAAUAUAUUAGCAUAUUAAUGUAGUGAAAUGGAGGAAACUCCCCUGAGUCACGUCCUUCAUCAAGGAGUAAAUGAAAGUUCUUUAAAUAUCAUACUAAAGAAGCUUGAACUUCGAAAGUCAUAAUCUCAACACUCUAACCGAUGUCAGAUAAAAGGAAUAGCAACAAAUCACAUCAUUGAGAUAGAACUCAAUUACAUGCUUUUUGGUUUUGUGAAUGAUUGACUAUUACCGGGAUAAGUUGUUCGUCACUAUCUAUCUUCUUGCACAACAACGUCUUUCCCUCCAUCUUACAGAAUCAUUUGCAUACAAAAUAAUGUCCAUAUACGUGAGUAAAAAUCCCAACGACAAAUCUUCACUAAAAAAAAUCUUUUUGAAAAGGGAGCCAAAUAAGAUCUUUGUCAAAAUAGAAUAUUCUUCGUAAUUUUUCUUGACCGAACUCUUUUAGCCACGUCACCAAACGAAAUGAAAAGCUGAACAAAGCAACAAUCACGAGCCCACACAACAUCUAACAAAAGUUGGUUGAGCUCACAUAAAUUAGGGCUAAAGUGAGAAAUUAAAGUAUAUCCCUUUGUGCUGAACUAGGCUCUAUUAAACAACACAACAAGAAGAACAUUAAAUUCAACUCCAUACCUUCAGUGAUGUGGUCUAUUUGGCUUGAGAGAAACAGUAGUUGAAUCUUCAAAGACAAAUACAAAUCGACCAUUAAUAUUUGGAAAGACAUAUGUACGCUUUCGGUUCUAUAGACUAGCAAUUCUCCACUUUUUACAAAAUACAGUGCUUCAACAAUUGCCAUUAAUCUUUCGGCUUUUUAGUCAUCUUUUGUAUGGGGGCUUAUCUCUAGUUCCUUCUUUCCACAGGUGUUAUUCCUUACUUCUCUUGUAUCUACUGUUAUAUUAUGAAUGAAAGCAAGAUAAUGAUGAGGGUGCUAAAGGCUAGUGGAGAUGGAGAUGGAGAUGCGCACAUGCGCGGAUGCACUUGCUGAUCUAUUGUAUCCCUUGAAAAAAAUAGUAUCAAUGUACGCGUAAUUGAGAAAUAUACAUGCAAUUGACUUUAAAAUCAAGAUAGAAUUAAGCACGCCAUUAUGUUAUAUAUUAUUGCAAUAUAUGUUUAUUAAUUACUUAAUUAUUACAAGUGAAAACAAGUUCAAAUGAAUGUAAAUUCUUUCUAUCUACACAUAUUCUAAUUUGAUUUCUUGUAGAUGGUUUUGCUCUCAAUACAUACUUAAAAAGUAUAUGAUUUUAUUUCAUUUUUUCCCUUUAGAUACAUAUUUGUAUCCUUAACCCUUAAUUUUCAUAUGAUUAUGUUAUUGAUCAAUUGAUACAUUCAACCUGCAGCCACAAGUACAGUGAGAUUUACAUAUUUCAUUUCUCAUAUAAAAAGACCAAACUAUAUAUUUUGUGGCACGAUUAUACCUGCACUAAUUCACACUAAAUUCCAUCAAAACUCGCAUAGUCUAAGCUUCCUUAGAUGAGAAAUUCUCCUGUUUGCACCCCUUUGAAAGAAAAAAAAGAACUUCUAAACAUGCGCCCCACAACAGUGAGAUGAAAAGAUACAAAAACACACACAUAAUAGCUUUAUUUAAAAUGUAUGUUCCAUUACUUAUAUAGAUAGCUCAUACAUACGUAUAUAUAUAAGCAGUAGUAGAUGGGAUGUUGCAAUUUAUUUCGUGACAGGUUCAAACUGAGUGACCUCCAGGUAAUUAUCCCAUGGCCUAUAAUACACAACUACCAAGAAAUCACUGGUAGUACUGUCAUCCUUAAGCGACAGCACAAGGCGGUAGUUGGUUCCGGAUACAACCACGGACUCACAGUUGACGAUGGAAACGAGUGUGUAAUUUGUUCCUGCUGAUUUGUUGUGAUCAGCCACUGCCCGUUCUGCAAUUUCUUUUACGUAUGGGGCAUCCGAAUCGUCACAUGGACCAUAAGGACCCAGAGGAGUACACAUAUCUAUGUAUCUUUCUAAAUUACCCUUUCAAAAUUAUUACUACUUAAUAAGGGAAUGCUUUAAUUUGUGUGCUUCUUUCCAAUAAAAAAAAUUGUUUCAAAUUUAUAGUAAUAUGCUCUCC